AGAGUUUGAUCAUGGCUCAGAACGAACGCUGGCGGCAGGCCUAACACAUGCAAGUCGAGCGCUCCGCAAGGAGAGCGGCGCACGGGAGAGUAACGCGUGGGAACCUACCUUUUGGUUCGGAAUAACAUCGGGAAACUGGUGCUAAUACCGGAUAAGCCCUUCGGGGGAAAGAUUUAUUGCCAAAAGAUGGGCCCGCGUUGGAUUAGCUAGUUGGUGAGGUAAUGGCUCACCAAGGCAACGAUCCAUAGCUGGUCUGAGAGGAUGAUCAGCCUCACUGGGACUGAGACACGGCCCAGACUCCUACGGGAGGCAGCAGUGGGGAAUAUUGGACAAUGGGGGAAACCCUGAUCCAGCCAUGCCGCGUGAAUGAUGAAGGCCUUCGGGUUGUAAAGUUCUUUUGACAGGGACGAUGAUGACGGUACCUGUAGAAUAAGCUCCGGCUAACUUCGUGCCAGCAGCCGCGGUAAUACGAAGGGAGCUAGCGUUGUUCGGAAUUACUGGGCGUAAAGGGCGCGUAGGUGGUUCGACAAGUUGGAUGUGAAAGCCCAGGGCUCAACCCUGGAAUUGCAUUCAAGACUGUCUUACUUGAAUUCGGUAGAGGUUGGUGGAAUUCCCAGUGUAGAGGUGAAAUUCGUAGAUAUUGGGAAGAAUACCCGUGGCGAAGGCGGCCAACUGGACCGACAUUGACACUGAGGCGCGAAAGCGUGGGGAUCAAACAGGAUUAGAUACCCUGGUAGUCCACGCUGUAAACGAUGCAUGCUAGACGUUGAAAGGCUUAGCCUUUUUGUGUCGCAGCUAACGCACUAAGCAUGCCGCCUGGGGAGUACGGCCGCAAGGUUGAAACUCAAAUGAAUUGACGGGGGCCCGCACAAGCGGUGGAGUAUGUGGUUUAAUUCGACACAACGCGAAGAACCUUACCAACCUUUGACAUGUCUAGUAUGGAUCUAGGAGACUAGGUCCUUCAGUUCGGCUGGCUAGAACACAGGUGCUGCAUGGCUGUCGUCAGCUCGUGUCGUGAGAUGUUGGGUUAAGUCCCGCAACGAGCGCAACCCUCAUCUUCAGUUGCCCCCAGGUUAUGCUGGGCACUCUGAAGAAACCGCCGGUGACAAGCCGGAGGAAGGCGGGGAUGACGUCAAGUCCUCAUGGCCCUUACAGGUUGGGCUACACACGUACUACAAUGGUGGUGACAGUGGGCUGCGAAGUCGCAAGACGAAGCCAAUCCCCAAAAACCAUCUCAGUUCAGAUUGUACUCUGCAACUCGAGUGCAUGAAGUUGGAAUCGCUAGUAAUCGCAGAUCAGCACGCUGCGGUGAAUACGUUCCCGGGCCUUGUACACACCGCCCGUCACGCCAUGGAAGUUGGUUUUACCUGAAGCCGGCGAGCCAACCGCAAGGAGGCAGCCGACCACGGUAAGGUUAAUGACUGGGGCGAAGUCGUAACAAGGUAGCCGUAGGGGAACCUGCGGCUG
rnacentral:rRNA from 1 species